rnacentral:lncRNA from 1 species
GAUCAUGAUGCUUUUGCUCAGGCUGAGUAACACUCACUGGUAGCUGGCCCCCGUGUCCUUCAAUCUGAAUGUGACCUCUGUUCUGCCUGUAGACCAGCAAUACGGGAGAGGUUUCAGUGCUGACUUGGGGCUAGCAUGUCCUUUUACUCAGCUGAAAUGAUUCAGUUUCCAGAUGUUCAGUGCCUAUACAGCUGUGCAUCACCCACCUCAAAACAUAGGUGCCACGAAUGUCCUUUCGCUAUUCUGCAACCAGCAGAGCCCUGGGACCGAGGGCCUGCACCCAUGGCAAAACUCCCAUUGAUUCCCUAGCUAAAGCCCUGCCGGAUCCUGGCAGGUAACAGUCCAUCGCAUCCUCUUGUACGGCCCGUUGCGUGCCCUCACCCAGUUCAAUCCAUCCUGCUUCGGGUAAUACCCUAACACGUUGCCUCCUGGGUUGUAUAACCUUCCACAUAUAGCAAACCUGUCUGAAAUUAUGGAGCCCUUGAAGUCUUCUGAGACUGAGGAAUUUCAACAGAUCCCAGUGCACUGAGUAAAGCUGUAUAAAAGGAGAGCAAAUGCCAAGCAAACUCUGUGCUGCUAAUCCACUCAGUGGCUUCUCUGUUUUAUUAUGACAUUUUAUUAUAACUGCUGUUCCCCGCCUGGGUUAAUAUCUUUUCCUUGGAACCUCAUAGAGAUUCUCAGCAUCUUUUCAGUACAGCUGUUCUUAUGAAGCAGGGAAUAGGAAUGUGAUGCUUGAGCAAUAGUUCCUGCGGUCAUGGGCUCUAGCAGAAGAUUGUGGCUUACGAUAUGAGCGGCUCAGACUGAUAGCACAGGCUCAUAUCUCCUGGGAAGUGGUUCUUGUGAUGAGAGUGUUUCACCAAGGUGGAAGGGAGACAGCAGUACAGCUGAUGAAAGCCUUUGCCGGUCAGCUCCUGAGGUCAAGCUCUGUUCAGAUCCACCCUCGGGGCACAGUUAAACGUGCUGCUUUUAUCACCACGCGGGCGGUGUGGUGCGAGUUCUCCGGGAAAAUGAGCUUCAAACUUGUUUCACGUGAGUGUGUAAGCACCAGAGACACACCUGUCAGCACCGUUUGUGCAAGUGCAAUCUCAUGAGUGUUUGCGGGAAGCAUAUCUAUUAUCGAACCCCUGGCCAAAGGAGUCUAUUUCGCAGCAUGAAGAAUUGCAGGAUUCGUUCACCCUUGUAGCCAUUGCCCAAACUCGAGCUGGAACCUGCUGGAAAGGAAACCAAGUUGGCCAUUGGACACUGCAAGUGCCAGCCAUGGAAAGUGUUGUACCAAGCAAUAAAAAGCGCUAUACUUCUCA